AUCAAGUGAUUUUAUAACCUCAAAACUACUUAACACGUGACACGAGCUUCCAAUAACAACGGAUUUUGUGUUUGAGCAAUGCCAAGAAAACGCAAAGGGGCUGAUUUGAGCCGCAGUACAAGUAAAGCUCGAAACUGGCAAAAUAGCAGAUCCGAAAGAACAGAAGAACAAAUUUAGCAACAAAAUACUGAUGCAUGUGUCAGAAUGGCGCAAUUGCAUCAAGAAGAGCCAGAAGAUACACGAGCUGAACGCAAUGAAGUCAGAAGAUUAGAACAACGACAAUCACGCCGUUUCACAGUCAAUAGACGAAGAACAAAUGACCAACAACGACAACAGGUACAUCGAG
rnacentral:lncRNA from 1 species